rnacentral:rRNA from 1 species
GACGAACCGUACGAACGUUAUUCGGAAUCACUGGGCUUAAAGGGUGCGUAGGCGGCCAUUCAAGUCAGGGGUGAAAGCCUGUGGCUCAACCACAGAAUUGCCUUUGAUACUGUUUGGCUGGAGACCGGAAGAGGUAAGUGGAACUGCGAGUGUAGAGGUGAAAUUCGUAGAUAUUCGCAAGAACACCAGUGGCGAAGGCGGCUUACUGGUCUGGUUCUGACGCUGAGGCGCGAAAGCGUGGGGAGCAAACAGG